rnacentral:misc_RNA from 2 species
AGGAGGUAAAAAUGUUCA